rnacentral:rRNA from 1 species
AUUGAACGCUGGCGGCAGGCUUAACACAUGCAAGUCGAACGAGUGGCGGGCGGGUGAGUAAUGCUUGGGAAUCUCGCUUAUGGAGGGGGAUAACUACUGGAAACGGUAGCUAAUCCCGCAUACCAUCGGAUGAACCCCUAGGGGAUUAGCUUGUAGGUGAGGUAACGGGUCACCUAGGCGACGAUCCCUAGCUGGUCUGCGAGGAUGAUGAGCCACACCGGGACUGAGACACGGCCCAGACGCCUACGGGAGGCAGCAGUGGGGAAUAUGGCACAAUGUGCGCAAGCCUGAUGAAGCCAUGCCGCGUGUAUGAAGUAGGCCUUCGGGGUGUAAAGUUCGUUCAGUCGGGAGGCGGUACCGACAGAAGAAGCACCGGCUAACUCCGUGCCAGCAGCCGCGGUAAUUC